AGUGAACGCUGGCGGUAGGCCUAACACAUGCAAGUCGAACGGCAGCACAGUAAGAGCUUGCUCUUACGGGUGGCGAGUGGCGGACGGGUGAGGAAUACAUCGGAAUCUACUUUUUCGUGGGGGAUAACGUAGGGAAACUUACGCUAAUACCGCAUACGACCUACGGGUGAAAGCAGGGGAUCUUCGGACCUUGCGCGAUUGAAUGAGCCGAUGUCGGAUUAGCUAGUUGGCGGGGUAAAGGCCCACCAAGGCGACGAUCCGUAGCUGGUCUGAGAGGAUGAUCAGCCACACUUGAACUGAGACACGGUCCAGACCCCUACGGGAGGCAGCCGUGGGGAAUAUUUGACAAUGGGCGCAAGCCUGAUCCAGCCCUACCGCGUGGGUGAAGAAGGCCUUCGGGUUGUAAAGCCCUUUUGUUUGGAAAGAAAAGCAGCAGGUUAAUACCCCGCUGUUCUGACGGUACCCAAAGAAUAAGCACCGGCUAACUUCGUG
rnacentral:rRNA from 1 species